rnacentral:rRNA from 1 species
CACGUAGGGAGCAAGCGUUGUCCGGAUUUAUUGGGCGUAAAGAGCUCGUAGGUGGUUCGGUAAGUCAGGUGUGAAACCUCCAGGCUCAACCUGGAGACGCCACUUGAUACUGCUGUGACUGGAGUCCGGUAGGGGAGCGUGGAAUUCCUGGUGUAGCGGUGAAAUGCGCAGAUAUCAGGAGGAACACCAGCGGCGAAAGCGACUUCCUGGACCAAUACUGACGCUCAUGUGCGAAAGCGUGGGGAGCAAACAGG